rnacentral:rRNA from 1 species
UGGGGGAUAUUGCACAAUGGGGGAAACCCUGAUGCAGCGACGCCGCGUGGAGGAAGACGGUUUUCGGAUUGUAAACUCCUGUCUCCGGGGACGAUAAUGACGGUACCCGGGGAGGAAGCACCGGCUAACUACGUGCCAGCAGCCGCGGUAAUACGUAGGGUGCAAGCGUUGUCCGGAUUUACUGGGUUUAAAGGGUGCGUAGGUGGGCUGUUAAGUCAGCUGUGAAAGUUUGCGGCUCAACCGUAAAAUUGCAGUUGAUACUGUCGGUCUUGAGUACAGUAGAGGUAAGCGGAAUUCGUGGUGUAGCGGUGAAAUGCUUAGAUAUCGAGAGGAACACUCGUGGCGAAGGCGGGUUCCUGGACAUUAACUGACGCUGAGGUACGAAGGCCAGGGUAGCGAAAG